rnacentral:rRNA from 1 species
CAGUCGCCGCGGGAAUACGGAGGGUGCAAGCGUUAUCCGGAUUCACUGGGUUUAAAGGGUGCGUAGGCGGGCAGGUAAGUCAGUGGUGAAAUCUUCGAGCUUAACUCGGAAACUGCCGUUGAUACUAUCUGUCUUGAAUAACGUUGAGGUGAGCGGAAUAUGUCAUGUAGCGGUGAAAUGCUUAGAUAUGACAUAGAACACCGAUUGCGAAGGCAGCUCACUAAACGCUCAUUGACGCUGAGGCACGAAAGCGUGGGGAUCAAACAGGAUUAGAUACCCCCGUAGUCCCCUGUCUCUUAUA